AUAUUUAUAGUCUAUAGAACCUAGAAUGCAACAGUAACAUCAUAUUCUCGUGAUAUUUGUUGAUAUAAAGUAGUGAAAGUAGAGAUAGUAACAAUGGCAUAUAAUGGUCCACCACGCCACCAUCCACCAGGACACUACCCACCAGGUCCUCCUCCACCACACUGGCAACAACCACCCCCUCAUGCACAUCAUCAUCAUCAUCAUCCGCCACCACCACCGCCACCUCCACCACAAGAUGAUUGUUGUAGAUGGUGCUGUGGACUCAGUUGCUUGACAUUUCUCUGCUGUUGUUUAUGCAGAGACUGAAAAUAAUUAUGGAAGGAUGAUUUAGAUGAAAAAAACAAGCACAAAUAGGUAGUUUUGUUUAUUGAGGUUAUUUAAAAUGAUUUUUUAUGUGAGUUCAUUGUAUAAGGUUUUUUCUCGAAAAUAC